UACGGAGGGUGCAAGCGUUAUCCGGAUUCACUGGGUUUAAAGGGAGCGUAGGCGGAAUAAUAAGUCAGUGGUGAAAGCCCCGGGCUCAACUUGGGAAUUGCCAUUGAUACUGUUAUUCUUGAGUUCGGUUGAGGUAGGCGGAAUGUUGCAUGUAGCGGUGAAAUGCUUAGAUAUGCAACAGAACACCGAUUGCGAAGGCAGCUUACCAAGCCGACACUGACGCUGAGGCUCGAAAGCGUGGGGAUCAAACAGG
rnacentral:rRNA from 1 species